GCCAGCGGCUGCAGCUGCCUGCUGUUCCCGCCGCUGCCCCCCUCUCCGUUCAGUCUCCGUGGCGCCUUCUUCUCCUCAGUCCGGACCUUCUUGGCCGACAGAGGACCCGAAAGCCGAAUUUCGCUGAUGCUCAGUCAGAGGAGAAAAUUUUAUGCGGAAUUCAGCCCUUCCUUCUGAAAGGCAACAGCCGUUGGACGGGAGGGACUAAAAAUCACUUGGUGUCCUGACAAGAUUUGUUACUGUUGCUAAGAUCGUCAACUCUAAAGCUUUAAGGGAGAUAACUUCCUGCAAACCCAGAAUUUUCGGAUUACUUCUAAACUUGAAGGUGCCUCAAAUUUUUAAAGGAAUGAAAGUAUUUACCUUUAAUACAUACCGAUGAAAAGUGAAAACUUUGUGGUUGGAAUUGACAGUCAGCAUGUGUCUUCAUGAAAAGUAGCAUUGUUGGAAGAGUGGACAGAGGAUGGGGCUGGAAAUCACUGCCUAGUAACCAGCUUUGUAACCUCAGUCACAGUGUUUCAUCUGUCGGAACCUCUGUUUUAUUUUAAUAAAUUCAGUUACAUGAUCACUAAGGUCUCUUACAUGCUCUUAACUUCUGCCAUAUCCAAGGAGCUUUUCAGAAUCACAAUGAAACCAUUAGAAUUAAAAUAGCCUCUUAAUUGUUGACCUUCCAGAUACAUAAAUGUGUCUCAUAUAUGUUAAUAUAGUACCUGGAAACUUGCACCAUUUAUUUUCUCAUCUCUCACAUAGAAGCCUGGAAAAUCCAAUUUGGUAAGGCCCCAGCUAAAGUGUACUCUCAUCCUUAUGAAUUUGUUUCUGCUUGCACUAUAUAUAGUCUUUUAUACUGUUAAACACCCUUAUCAGUCCUAACCCUAAAUUUGCAGAGCCUGGGCAAGAGUAUGGUUUGGAGGCUCACAUACCAUGUGUCUAAAUAUUUAAGUUAUAAAUC